UGUCCCAGUAAUAUUUUCAUUUCUAUAAUAUCCACUGCCCCAACCAUCAUUGCCAUUAGACUGGGGAUCAACAACAUUUUGAGUUGAAUUUACACUUGUUAAUGCCCCAGGAGAUGCACCUGCUUUCAUUUCAUUCGAGUUUUCCCAAGUUCUUGAAUCUGUGCUCCUUGCACCGCAUUGUUGGUCUUUCAUCCCUUGAACAUGUGAUCACCAGGCAUCCCAGGUUUACUGUCAUCCAACUUCUCAGGGAGCUUCUCCAGUGUUGCAGAAUUUGCAGUUCCACUUGUAGCAUUAUUAGUUGAAUCAGCCACAUC
rnacentral:misc_RNA from 1 species